UACGUAGGGUGCAAGCGUUGUCCGGAAUUACUGGGCGUAAAGCGUGCGCAGGCGGUGAUGUAAGACAGAUGUGAAAUCCCCGGGCUCAACCUGGGAACUGCAUUUGUGACUGCAUCGCUGGAGUGCGGCAGAGGGGGAUGGAAUUCCGCGUGUAGCAGUGAAAUGCGUAGAUAUGCGGAGGAACACCGAUGGCGAAGGCAAUCCCCUGGGCCUGCACUGACGCUCAUGCACGAAAGCGUGGGGGGCAAACAGG
rnacentral:rRNA from 1 species